rnacentral:rRNA from 1 species
UACAGAGGUCUCAAGCGUUGUUCGGAUUCAUUGGGCGUAAAGGGUGCGUAGGCGGCGCGGUAAGUCGGGUGUGAAAUCUCGGAGCUUAACUCCGAAACUGCAUUCGAUACUGCCGUGCUUGAGGACUGGAGAGGAGACUGGAAUUUACGGUGUAGCGGUGAAAUGCGUAGAUAUCGUAAGGAAGACCAGUGGCGAAGGCGGCUCUCUGGGACGGUACUGACGCUGAGACGCGAAAGCGUGGGGAGCGAACAGG